AACGGCUCGGUUCUGGUAUGAUAAUUGGUCCCCGUUUGGAAGCUUGGCAUCGGUGCUUAACGUCUCUGUGUCAAGACUAGGAAUCCCAGACAAGGCAACAGUGGCAUCUUUAUUCAGAAGCGGAGCAUGGCGACUACCACCUGCGAGAUCGGAACCUCAAUUACUCCUUCAUACUUUCCUAACAACUGUCUCUCUCUCACAAAAUCCUGACUAUUAUGAAUGGGAGAUUGCAGGUAAAGUAAGCUCAAAAUAUUCAACUGGUCAGACGUACACGUACCUGCGAGGCGAUCUGGAUGAGGUCUCGUGGGCUCCGGCAAUCUGGUUCUCCUAUGGAAUUCCUAGACAGCAAUUCCAUGCUUGGCUUGUUGUACUUGAUAGGUGUCCGACGAGGGAUAGACUCCAAUCUUGGGGUCUCCA
rnacentral:lncRNA from 1 species